UGGCUCGAUAGCUCAGUGGUAGAGCAGGAGACUCAUAAGCUCUUGGUCGUGGGUUCAAAUCCCACUUGAGCCAU
rnacentral:tRNA from 1 species